rnacentral:rRNA from 1 species
UACGUAGGGUGCGAGCGUUAAUCGGAAUUACUGGGCGUAAAGCGUGCGCAGGCGGUUUUGUAAGACAGGUGUGAAAUCCCCGGGCUUAACCUGGGAACUGCGCUUGUGACUGCAAGACUCGAGUACGGCAGAGGGGGGGUAGAAUUCCACGUGUAGCAGUGAAAUGCGUAGAGAUGUGGAGGAAUACCGAUGGCGAAGGCAGCCCCCCUGGGCCAAUACUGACGCUCAUGCACGAAAGCGUGGGGAGCAAACAGG